CUGAGGGUCAGUGUGCAGUAGAGGGACAGACGGGAUAUUCUUCUGUUCUACAUGCCCUGGAAUACUGAAGAUCGGACUCCAGUGUCUCACAUGUUGCAUUGGAGUUUUCACUGACACAGAAAAUCAGAUCAGCUCUACCCAGUGCCUCUG